GUGCUCACGUCAGCAGCACAUAUAUUAAAAUUGAAAGGAUAGAGAGAUUAGCAUGGCCUUUAUGUAAGGAUAACAUGCAAAUUUGUGAAGGGCUCCAUAUAUUU
ensembl:snRNA U6 U6 spliceosomal RNA